rnacentral:rRNA from 1 species
UACGUAGGGUCCGAGCGUUGUCCGGAAUUACUGGGCGUAAAGAGCUCGUAGGUGGUUUGUCGCGUUGUCCGUGAAAACUCACAGCUCAACUGUGGGCGUGCGGGCGAUACGGGCAGACUGGAGUACUGCAGGGGAGACUGGAAUUCCUGGUGUAGCGGUGAAAUGCGCAGAUAUCAGGAGGAACACCAGUGGCGAAGGCGGUGCUCUGGGCCGGAACUGACGCUGAGGAGCGAAAGCGUGGGGAGCAAACAGG